rnacentral:rRNA from 1 species
AGCCUGAACCAGCCAAGUAGCGUGAAGGAUGACUGCUCUAUGGGUCGUAAACUUCUUUUAUAUAAGGAAUAAAGUGGCCUAUGUAUACGCUUUUGUAUGUACUAUAUGAAUAAGGAUCGGCUAACUCCGUGCCAGCGAGCCGCGGUAAUAAC